AAUUGUAAGACCAAUUAUUCUAACUCCCUUUUCCUUCUCUCUAACUCACUUUACUCAAACCCACUAAGCUAGAAGCUUCUCUCCAAAACUCACAUGCAGAAGUGAUGGUGGAAACAAUCUGAUUUUCCAAAGCUCCAAUCGAUGUAGCUCCAAGUUCCAAGCUCAUCCAAAGCUCAUCUUAAAACUCUCCAAGCAGACCUCGUGCUUCUCUCCAAAUGGAUUUUUCUGAAGUAAAGGACUACAGAUCGAGAAGAUUUGCUUACCAAUCUACCCAAAAAAUCAAGUUUAAUCUACAAAUUUCAAGCUCUGUAAGAUAAAUCAUCUAGCCUUAAAGUUAUGAGUUUGCUUGAAUUCAACAACAGCAAUAACAUAUCUAGUGAAAUUCCACAAAGAUGGGUCUGGAGAGGGUAGAGUGUACGCAAGACCUUACCACUACCUCAUGGAGGUAGAGAUGCUAUUUUCGAAAGACACUCGAAUCAAGCCUUGGGUUGUACCUGAAGAGGAUGGGUAAUGAUGGGUAGCCAAUAGGACUCCAGUCACCUCAUCUAGUACAGUUGGCAAUAUGGAUAAUGAUCAUCAAAUCUGGAUUGUACCUGAAGAGGGUGGGUUUGAUCCUCACAAGAUAGUUAUUGAAGGCAUUGCUAGUUGGAUUCGUAGUAAAUUUGAAUUGGCUAGACCCUCAUGAAAGAAGUUUCCAGAAUUUACUCAUGAUAUGUGGUUUGAGGAAUUCAAGAAGAAAUUCAAAAGGCUCCCUCACUAUACUGAUGUUAUACGACGUAAUUUUGAGAAAAGGGCAUCUGCAAGGAUGGAACAAUUUUUUCAAGAUGUUAGGAAAAACUUGCCUCUGAAGCCACAUUGAAUGGGGGAUGCAGUAUUUAAGGAGAUGAAGAGGCACUGGGAGUCUCCUUCAUUCAAGAUAAAGUCUGAACAAAACAAAAAAAAUUGUGAUUCAAAUGUUGGUGCAUCACUUCACACAGGUGGUUGUAUACCUCAUCAAGUGAUCUCUAAUAGAAUGAAAGAAUCUACUGAAAAAGAUCCAUCAAUUUCAAAAUUUUAUUUUCGAACCCAUCGCAAGAAAAGUGAUAAAAGUUGGGUAAAUGAGAAAGCAGAAACUGCUUAUGUAAGUAUUCAUUCACUCUAUUCUUUUGUAGAUUAAAUAAUUUAUUCCUGAUUUUGCUAUCUUAUUGUUGGAGCUCAUCUUUUAUGGUACUGAAAAUUCAAGUUGGUGUAUGAGUAUAUCAGGAAUAUGGUUGUACAAUUAUAGCAAUAUGCAUAAAUCUAUGAAACCUUGCAAUGGCUAUGAAUUGUGAAAUGAAAUU